UAUAUACUUUCUCAAAUUUUUUCCUAUUUUUCCAUAUUAAUGUCUUUUAACUAAUUAAAGUUUAAAAACAGAAAGACGUUAUAAUUGUAUCCCUUUAACCGUUUCCUCAAAUUAAGCCCAUAAUAAUUGCAUACGUCGUUUGGCAUUCUGAAUUCAAAAUUAAUGUCUCCUCGGCCGCCUCUGUAAAGCUAUACGCAGAAGUCCCAUCACAUCAUCCUCUUUGCGAGCAAAAGCUCCAUCUCCAGAAAUAGGGCAGAAGUUCACAAUGUUUUGCCAAGUUCUUUCUAUCGGAAGUGUGUCAGUUUUUAUGGAAUAUUUUUUAUAUUCGCACUGAAGCCCAGUUAUAUAUGGACUCAUACAUAAUAAGGCUCCAUUGGUACGGAAGUACUCUACCAAAGAUUUGAACCAAGACCUCUGUUUACAAGGAUAGCAAUCCCGUCCACAACAUCACAUCUUGCUUACAAGUAUCUUUGAGAAGAAAAAGUUAAAUCACGUGAAGCACAAGAUUGUUGAUGCUGAGCACUAGGAAGAGAUAACUUCUUGAUGAUAUAGAUUUUAUACAAAGAGAACACUAAGGUUGAGCAUGCUCAGUUGCCCAUGGAUGAAAUAAGGAUGCUGCUGGAAGUGGUCAAAUAUCAGCAAUAGUAUCGCAAUGCAACAGGAAAGGAGAAAAAGAACGAUGACAAGUUUCAAAAGACUACCAUUAACCCUUUGAAUCUUCACAAGAACAUAGUUGGGAUGGUGAAAAUCAUAAUUCAUAAUCCUCGGGGAAGAAAUUUGCUUCACCUGAGAAAGGGCAAACAAACGGAUUGCAAGCAGACACUUUGAACUCUUUUUUAGGUGAACUCAAUUUUGUUUCUCCUAAAUUAGAUGUUUGCUAUUUUAUUUUUGACAGAGAAAUAAUUUAUCUUAUGGUUACUAGCUUCAAA